rnacentral:lncRNA from 12 species
GUAUCAAUACUCUAAAAUCAGCCUACUUAGUACUACAUGGGUCUGAUGUGCUAGGCCUCUCCUAUCCUGUUCUCACAUCCAGUUGAGAGGAACGUCUGGCUGAGCAGAUGGGCUGUUAAUAAGCUUGACUCCUGUUGUGCCAUUGGACUCUUCAUCAUCUAGGCAGUGUGAGAUGUGUCACAGGUGAGUCACGAAGCUGGAUGAGGCGGAUGGCACCUGUUAGGGUUGGCUAAGACAGCAUCUUAUGCAUACAUAUGGAAGAGCAGACAGUCAGUGCCAGGUGGUGGGUGGGAGGAAACCAACUACCCAGAGAAUUUCCACUGGGAAUAUCUUCUCAAUGCAGAAAACUGGAAGGUUGAUCACAAUAUUUCCUUCUCCAUCCUAAUGAGGCUCUCUAGAGUUUUACAACCUAAGAAAUGGGCUUUGAGAGGUAACUUCUUCAAAAUCACUUCCCUAAGGAAAAAGUUUUUUGCUCUCUUUGACUGGUUCAGAAAAUGGCGGAGCACACCGGUCAUACACAGGAAUUGAGAGGAGAAGCGCUCUGAUAAUGCUUGGAAGGCCAGUAGGAGGUAAGAUACUUAGUGGUUAAGGCACAUACUUCAGAACCC